ACUAAGCAUAUCAAUAAGCGGAGGAAAAGAAACCAACAGGGAUUGCCCCCAGUAACGGCGAGUGAAGCGGCAACAGCUCAAAUUUGAAAUCUGGCCUCCUUGGGGCCCGAGUUGUAAUUUGCAGAGGAUGCUUCGGCGUUGGCCCCGGUCUAAGUCCCUUGGAACAGGGCGUCACAGAGGGUGAGAAUCCCGUACGUGGCCGGUGGCCCUCGCCGUGUGAAGCUCCUUCGACGAGUCGAGUUGUUUGGGAAUGCAGCUCUAAAUGGGAGGUAAAUUUCUUCUAAAGCUAAAUACCGGCCAGAGACCGAUAGCGCACAAGUAGAGUGAUCGAAAGAUGAAAAGCACUUUGGAAAGAGAGUCAAAAAGUACGUGAAAUUGUUGAAAGGGAAGCGCUCGCAACCAGACCCGCCCGCGGUCGCUCAUCCAGGCCCCGGCCUGGUGCACUCUUCCGCGGUCGGGCCAGCAUCGGUUUGGGCGGUCGGACAAAGGCGGCGGGAAUGUGGCUCCCCUCGGGGAGUGUUAUAGCCCGCCGCGCAAUGCGGCCAGCCCGGACCGAGGUCCGCGCUCCGGCUAGGAUGCUGGCUUAAUGGUUGUGAGCGGCCCGUCUUGAAACACGGACCAAGGAGUGUAACAUCUGUGCGAGUGUUUGGGUGUCAAGCCCGGGCGCGCAAUGAAAGUGAACGGAGGCGGGAACCCCCCCGGGGCGCACCGUCGACCGAUCCUGAUGUCUUCGGAUGGAUUUGAGUAAGAGCACAGCUGUUGCGACCCGAAAGAUGGUGAUCUAUGCCUGAAUAGGGUGAAGCCAGAGGAAACUCUGGUGGAGGCUCGCAGCGGUUCUGACGUGCAAAUCGAUCGUCAAAUUUGGGCAUAGGGGCGAAAGACUAAUCGAGUACCAAUGCCCC
rnacentral:rRNA from 1 species